UGGGGAAUAUUGCACAAUGGGGGAAACCCUGAUGCAGCGACGCCGCGUGAGCGAAGAAGUAUUUCGGUAUGUAAAGCUCUAUCAGCAGGGAAGAAAAUGACGGUACCUGACUAAGAAGCUCCGGCUAAAUACGUGCCAGCAGCCGCGGUAAUACGUAUGGAGCAAGCGUUAUCCGGAUUUACUGGGUGUAAAGGGAGCGUAGGCGGUGGUGCAAGUCUGAUGUGAAAACCCGGGGCUCAACCCCGGGACUGCAUUGGAAACUGUGUCACUGGAGUGUCGGAGGGGUAAGUGGAAUUCCUAGUGUAGCGGUGAAAUGCGUAGAUAUUAGGAGGAACACCAGUGGCGAAGGCGGCUUACUGGACGACAACUGACGCUGAGGCUCGAAAGCGUGGGGAGCAAACAGGAUUAGAUACCC
rnacentral:rRNA from 1 species